UGAGGCCAAGCUUCAGUUUUAAUAAAAGCUGUGCCUGGCUCCAAUUUCAAUGCAAUAUCAAGAAAAUACAGAUGCCAACAUGUAUUAAACACAGCAGAAUAAGGUACUGAAAGGAUGCACUGAGGUCUUGGAGCCUUCACCUCUACAGCUGAGCAACCACAGCCUUUCCUCACAGAAAAGGUGUUCCAUGCCUCCAAACAUCUUUGCAGCUCUCCUCUAGACCCACUCCAACAGGUCCAACAGUGCCUGAUGAGUUCCUCUCCCUUGACUCAUCUCUCCUGGCUGACCUAAAGGCUCCACCUGUGCAGUCUGUGGAUGUGCAGCCCAUGACUUGCACAGGUUUCCUGGUUUUCCCACAAGAGGUGUACUUGUUAGGACACUUAUUAGAGAGCAAACUGAUGAUUUUAAAUGGAGAAAGGUAAAAAAGAAAAGGAAAUGGAAGAAAGAAGGGAAAGAAGAAGAAAAAGCAUGGUAAAUGUAAAAAGCAGAGUGUGUGAUUUUCUGUUUUACAGGCAGUGCCCUUAUUUGAUUAUUGCUUGGUGGCAUAUUUGAGUUGCCCAAGGAAAGAAAUGUCGAUACAAACACAAUUUUCAGAAUAAUUCAAAUGGAAUUAAUACUUACAGGCGCUUCAGUUCUGAAAGUCCAUAGAAGGCCCCUGGCUCAAUUGUGCUGAUCAAAUUAUUCUUCAGAUCUCUAGAGAGGCAUAAUAGGAGGAGCGGUUAAUUACCAUUUUACCUACUUUACCACUGUUAUACAUGAGGAGUGUGAAAUGCAAUGCAAUUCUAACCUUUAUCUGUCUUAGCUAAAACUAAGGAUUUCUUUUAAAUAGUAGCAUCAAAAACAUUACAUCAUCUGCAGUUUAUAAAAACAUCUUUUUCCAAGAUUAGAUGCUUUAAAAAAAUCCACUUGUUUUAAUUCUUCUUCUCCUAUUUAUACUUUUCAAAACAAGCUUACCAGCCAUUCUUGCCCCAGGAAAAAAUGUUUUAAUCAAUGAGUCAAUGAAAUAAUUAGUCAGCAAAGCAAGAGCCUUUCAGCUUGCUUAUUCAUUGUGCUGUGCACUUUACACUUAAUAAAUUUCUCAUUUCCACCUAAUGUAGGCGAAGCAGUUGGCAUGUGAGACAGACAGGUCAGGUUUCUGUUCUGAAAUACAGGCAGUUUCUCGUAUUUGGCAGAUCGGUGCUUCAUUUUGCACUUGCUGACAAGCCAGAGGAUUGGCUGUUUUACAGAUAAAGAAUAUUUCACUGGCAUUAGUAAUCUGGUCUGCUCUUGACACAGUGCUUGGAGCCAUGACACUGCUCUCAGCUCAGUCCCCACAGAUUUACUACUGAACUGUCUCAAAGACUUUUGUGAUGUGAACCCCAAACAAGUGCCUUCAGUGCAACUAGAUAAGCAGGCCUAGGAGACAAAUGCUGUAAAUUCUUGCAGGCAGUAUUCAUCUUCUGACAAUUUGCAAUUCAUGGGGAGCAACUGGUGCUCACUAGUUUCGGUGCUGUUUCUCGGGCUGGCCACUUCCAAGAAUCACAGCACAUACACUGCUCAGCUCUGCUGAAGUACAGAUGGAUCAACAGCCACAGGAAUAAUCUUAUUUAAGACUUUUUAUUUUACUGCAGAUAAAGUGCACACUAGCUGAAAACUUGAGUCCACUACCUGUGAUUGGCCUGAACAGGGCAAGAUUAUAUCCCAAAUGUUUAUUUCACAGUAGGAUAUAUUUUAUUUUCCAAGUCAAAAUCAUAAAUAAAUAUUUCUGUACUUUUCUAGUCAUUUUUGCAGAUCUCUUGAAUACAGUUCCAAAAAUUUGUGUCUCACACCCAUUUCAUUAUAGCAAUGACGUCAAUGAGUGAUUUGUCCCUAACUAAGUUCUGAGUUAGGACUCUUUAACAGUCAAGUUUAGCUUUCAGCUUGCCACAUGCAACUCUAAAAGUCUUUAAGAAGUAGAUUUAUCUGUCUUAAUUUCCUCAAGAAGUUGUGACCAUUUCUUU